AUCCCGCCCGGACCUGACUGCUAUCGGAUUGAUACUAAGCCAUGCGAGUCAUUGUAGCAAUACAAGGCAGACGGCUCAGUAACGCGUAGUCAACCUAACCUAUGGACGGGAAUAACCUCGGGAAACUGAGAAUAAUGCCCGAUAGAACACUAUACCUGGAAUGGUUUGUGUUCCAAAUGAUUUAUCGCCGUAGGAUGGGACUGCGGCCUAUCAGUUUGUUGGUGAGGUAAUGGCCCACCAAGACUAUUACAGGUACGGGCUCUGAGAGGAGUAGCCCGGAGAUGGGUACUGAGACACGGACCCAGGCCCUAUGGGGCGCAGCAGGCGAGAAAACUUUGCAAUGUGCGAAAGCACGACAAGGUUAAUCCGAGUGGUUUGUGCUAAACGAACCUUUUGUCGGUCCUAGAAACACCGAUGAAUAAGGGGUGGGCAAGUUCUGGUGUCAGCCGCCGCGGUAAAACCAGCACCUCAAGUGGUCAGGAUGAUUAUUGGGCCUAAAGCAUCCGUAGCCGGCUCUGUAAGUUUUCGGUUAAAUCUGUAUGCUCAACAUACAGGCUGCCGGGAAUACUGCAGAGCUAGGGAGUGGGAGAGGUAGACGGUACUCGGUAGGAAGGGGUAAAAUCCUUUGAUCUAUUGAUGACCACCUGUGGCGAAGGCGGUCUACCAGAACACGUCCGACGGUGAGGGAUGAAAGCUGGGGGAGCAAACCGGAUUAGAUACCCGGGUAGUCCCAGCUGUAAACUAUGCAAACUCAGUGAUGCAUUGGCUUGUGGCCAAUGCAGUGCUGCAGGGAAGCCGUUAAGUUUGCCGCCUGGGAAGUACGUACGCAAGUAUGAAACUUAAAGGAAUUGGCGGGGGAGCACCACAAGGGGUGAAGCCUGCGGUUCAAUUGGAGUCAACGCCGGAAAGGG
rnacentral:rRNA from 1 species